CGGGAUGUGGCGUAGCUUGGUAGCGCGCUCGGCUGGGGGCCGAGAGGUCGCCGGUUCAAAUCCGGCCAUCCCGACCA
rnacentral:tRNA from 1 species